rfam:Brachypodium distachyon strain Bd21 chromosome 3, whole genome shotgun sequence.
UGUCUACUCCCUCCGUCCAACAAAGGAUGUCUCAACUUUGACUAAAUUUGAAUGCAUCUAUACACUAAGUCACACAUCUAGAUACAUCCAAAAUUUAACAAACUUGAAACAUCUUUUGUUGGACGGAGGGAGUAUGAU